UACGGAGGAGGCAAGCGUUAUCCGGAAUUAUUGGGCGUAAAGCGUCCGCAGGUGGCACUUCAAGUCUGUCGUCAAAGACUGGGGCUUAACCCUGGAAAGGCGGUGGAAACUGAAGCGCUAGAGUGCGGUAGGGGUAGAGGGAAUUCCCGGUGUAGCGGUGAAAUGCGUAGAUAUUGGGAAGAACACCGGUGGCGAAAGCGCUCUGCUGGACCUGCACUGACACUGAGGGACGAAAGCUAGGGGAGCGAAAGGG
rnacentral:rRNA from 1 species